UUAACAAUGAUGUAAGGAUUCCCCUACCUCCAUGUGAACCAACCUGCCUGCCCCAACACUGUGCUAAUGUCGCUGCGGGAACACUAAGGACAUGAGGACUAUGAGAGUAGGAUGCUGGAUGCAAAAAAAAAUUGAAUUCCCUUUUAAUACUGACUAAGAUGCUCAGGCCUCAAAGGAGGUGGACUGCAAGGGUGAGAGCUGAGUGUUCCUUCUGGAUAUGAAUCAACACCAGCACGCAGGAAUCCACCAGGUUUGGACGGACGAUGCAUCUGACCAGAAGAGGGGAGUAGUAAGUUUCUGGGGUGCACAGAAAGAUCCCUAACUCUGUGUAAUUACCCAGGAAAUGAAAUAGUCUUGUCUAUGUGGACAUCGGUCCACAUGAGAAAAAUAGUGUAUAUAUCCUGACCACUUAAAAGUCAUGCUUUUUCUGAGAGAACCUCUGAGCUCGAAAGACUGUGAAAUAGUAUGUCUGCCUGUACCAGAAUCUUUCCUGAGUAGAGAAUUUCAUCAGGAAGGAAGAGGCCCAGAGCAUGCACAUAUGUUGAACUCUUGAAGGGCACCCAGUUUGAAAGAGAACAUCAAAGGCCUGAAUCACUGUGAAACAUGCUGUCUGCAAGUACUAGAACACUUCCUGAGAGCAAGGGACACUGCCAAACCACUAGAGCAAAAGUUAUGAUGGAUAAAGAGACAGGUGUUCUGGUGACCUGUAACCCCAUCAGGAGCCCCAAGGGUCACCUCCUGCUAAACCAAACAUAACCUUUAUCAGUGAAGGUCACUCCUGAGAAACCCUGUUGAGAAACCCUGCAGAGAGGAAAGCCAAGGAGGCCUCCUCCUUUCCAUUGUCAUUGUCUAUUAAGGGAGCUUGAACAGGUUAGCUCCUACAGACUUCUUAAACUGCCUGGAACACUCUGCUAAUUCUAUUUCCCAUACUCUUCAACUGAGUCAAGAGAAGAAAACAGAUAUUUGGAACCCUGAUCCAAUCAAAUUAAUAUUCUGGUGAUCAGAAGCCAAGACUGUACAGAGAUUUCUGAGGCCUCUCCAGGAAUUCUGUCCAAAAUCCAGCUCUGGAGGACUUCAGUGUGCGAGAAUGUACAGUACAUUGGAUGGACUCUGGGGUCUAAGGAAUGAAGUUUGUCCUCAUUAGGACAAAAAGAUACAAGAGGAACGCCCGAGUACAUAUAGAACACAGGGUGCCAUGAUGUGGAGCCUGAAGACAAGGGAGGCUGCUGAACACUCUAAUGCCUGUAUGAGUGAACUUGGACAUGAACAGUGUAGCUGGAUCUGUUUGCCUUCAGUUCAAGCUGCAAUGUUGUCACCAUCUCCUCUUUAAGCCCAUGUAUCCUUGACAAGGUUGUUCUGCCCUUCAAGCUCAUAUGAUGAUUGUGCAUGUAGGAGACCUAGCCUUCUGUCACCAAGGAAACAGAAAGCAGAGGAGGAAUGUGACCAUAGGAGGCUGCAGGCAAAAGUGAUGUGGGGCCACAACUGUACCUGGAAGCUACAGGGUACAAUCCCUGAGGCCCUGUUCAGACCUUCAUUCUAUUCUGGUGUCUUCCUAGUGACAGCCCUGCUAGCCAAUGACAACAACUUCUCCCUGACUCUUCCCCAGCCUUGCUUCCCAGUCCUAAGACUUGAAGAGCACAGAGGAUGGCCUCUGUAGGUCAGUCACUGGCUCUGGACCAUUGACCACUACCACUGCUUUUACUUGGGAUGGUGUUCAAAUUGUGGGAUGUCUGAGAAAGCUGGGUUCCACGUUUUUGCUAUGCAACCUGUUCCUCACGUCCUGGACUUUGCCUGCUCCAGUCCUCAGUUGCCAUUCAGUAAGCAUUGUGACGUGUAAGGCUCUCAGGAGAAGCCAGAUCCCAGUGGCAUUAGUGUGACAAACAAGCUGUGCCCAAGGAGCUGACACUCUGGCAGAGUCCAAGACAUCCAGGAAGACAGAGGUGGUGAGAUAUCACCAACUAUGACUCUGACAUCCAAUGAAGCAGUCGAGGGUCAUGAGGCUUUUCUGACUGAGGCAACACAGCCUGGAGCCCAAAUCCCGAGGCUGUGCACCAAAGUCCUUCCCUGUUUGUCACUGGUGAGCACAGUCUGACCUGAAAGUCUGGACCUGAUCUCUCAGUGAAGGCAAAACCGCUUGACCUCUGAUUUUGAACUGCUCUUGUAGCUAAUGCUGCUAUUGAUUUAAAAAUCUAGUUCAAUAUGUGAAAAAAUACACUCUUCAAUCUCCUGGAACAUUCUGUCUCAGAGAGGACCGUGUCUACACAUCAAAGGAAAGACCAGAUCCUGGUGCUUUCCCACAAGAAGUUGCUCAAUGUGGCUACCAGGCAGGCCAAAAAAAAGCCUCUGUCUGCAGACAGGAGGGCACCAACAAUGUGUCAAGCAACCUCAUCUGCAUCAUCACAAGCAUAUGUAGUGUGGAUAUCUGAUCAACAUGGUCUUUUGACAGUUGUGGAGCCCCUCCCACCAAUAAAGGUUAGCAACUUGUCGGGCUUUCAUGGCAUUUAUGGCAGCUAGAUUGUGCUUCUUAGAGUAAGUCCAAAUCAGUGCUGCUAGGUAUGUAUGAUGCUUAUAUACUUUACCCUAAUUUAAACAGAUGGUGUGGGCACUGAGAACAUGUA
ensembl:lncRNA